UACGAGGGGGGCAAGCGUUGUUCGGAAUUACUGGGCGUAAAGGGCGCGUAGGCGGUGUGGCAAGUCAGGCGUGAAAGCCCCGGGCUCAACCUGGGAACUGCGCUUGAGACUGGCACGCUCGAGUUCGGGAGAGGAUGGUGGAAUUCCCAGUGUAGAGGUGAAAUUCGUAGAUAUUGGGAGGAACACCGAUGGCGAAGGCAGCCAUCUGGACCGACACUGACGCUGAGGCGCGAAAGCGUGGGGAGCAAACAGG
rnacentral:rRNA from 1 species